rnacentral:rRNA from 1 species
GAUGAACGCUGGCGGCGUGCCUAAUACAUGCAAGUCGAGCGAACGGACGAGAAGCUUGCUUUUCUGAUGUUAGCGGCGGACGGGUGAGUAACACGUGGAUAACCUACCUAUAAGACUGGGAUAACUUCGGGAAACCGGAGCUAAUACCGGAUAAUAUUUUGAACCGCAUGGUUCAAAAGUGAAAGACGGUCUUGCUGUCACUUAUAGAUGGAUCCGCGCUGCAUUAGCUAGUUGGUAAGGUAACGGCUUACCAAGGCAACGAUGCAUAGCCGACCUGAGAGGGUGAUCGGCCACACUGGAACGGAGACACGGUCCAGACUCCUACGGGAGGCAGCAGUAGGGAAUCUUCCGCAAUGGGCGAAAGCCUGACGGAGCAACGCCGCGUGAGUGAUGAAGGUCUUCGGAUCGUAAAACUCUGCUAUUAGGGAAGAACAUAUGUGUAAGUAACUGUGCACAUCUUGACGGUACCUAAUCAGAAAGCCACGGCUAACUACGUG